AUACGGAGGGUGCAAGCGUUAAUCGGAAUUACUGGGCGUAAAGCGCACGCAGGCGGUUUGUUAAGUCAGAUGUGAAAUCCCCGGGCUCAACCUGGGAACUGCAUCUGAUACUGGCAAGCUUGAGUCUCGUAGAGGGGGGUAGAAUUCCAGGUGUAGCGGUGAAAUGCGAAGAGAUCUGGAGGAAUACCGGUGGCGAAGGCGGCCCCCGGACCGAAGACUGACGCACAGGUGCGAAAGCGUGGGGAGCAAACAGGAUUAGAUACCCUGGUAGUCCACGCCGUAAACGAUGUCGACUUGGAGGUUGUGCCCUUGAGGCGUGGCUUCCGGAGCUAACGCGUUAAGUCGACCGCCUGGGGAGUACGGCCGCAAGGUUAAAACUCAAAGGAAUUGACGGGG
rnacentral:rRNA from 1 species